AGCGAACGCUGGCGGCAGGCUUAACACAUGCAAGUCGAGCGGGCACUUUCGGGUGUCAGCGGCGGACGGGUGAGUAACGCGUGGGAACGUGCCCUCUGGUUCGGAAUAACUCAGGGAAACUUGAGCUAAUACCGGAUACGCCCUUUUGGGGAAAGGCUUGCUGCCGGAGGAUCGGCCCGCGUCUGAUUAUCUAGUUGGUGAGGUAACGGCUCACCAAGGCGACGAUCAGUAGCUGGUCUGAGAGGAUGAUCAGCCACACUGGGACUGAGACACGGCCCAGACUCCUACGGGAGGCAGCAGUGGGGAAUAUUGGACAAUGGGCGCAAGCCUGAUCCAGCCAUGCCGCGUGAGUGAUGAAGGCCUUAGGGUUGUAAAGCUCUUUUAUCCGGGACGAUAAUGACGGUACCGGAGGAAUAAGCCCCGGCUAACUUCGUG
rnacentral:rRNA from 1 species